rnacentral:lncRNA from 1 species
AAAUGCACACUUUUUAUCAACCUAGUCACUUGAUGCUACAUAAUAGUUAGAUUAAAUACUUCAAAGGUCACAUAGCAUCCACUCAAAGAUUAGAGAUAAUAAUAUAAAUGUAAGAUCACAUAUCACAUCAAUGAAGAUAAAAUCUGUGACACCAAGAUGGUUAAUUACUCGUAUACUACGUGUUGAUGCAUUUAACUUUUUUGACAUCACCAUAAUAGGGCAACACUGUUACAAAGGGUGACUGACUGACGAAAGGUGCACAGAAACCAUCAUAUUUACUCAGUAUUACAUGGUGCAAUUAACUUUGCAGCCAGUAGUAAAUUUCUCAUGUACACAAUGGUGCAUUUAACUUUGCAGUGCCACAUUAUUAGAAAAGGCAUUUGAGAGGGAAACUACUAUUCACUUGGAAGACAUGAGCACAGACAACUAAGUCAGAUUGGUUUUUUAGCAAGUGUAUGCACGACAGACAACACCGGCACUUUAGAAGGUAAGGUCUUCAAUUAAAACAGUGUGCAGACAGUAAGUACUUACUACAGAAAAUAUGUCCUUGUUAAGCUGAGAUCUCAAUCAAUACAGGCAAGAACUCCACCGACCUGAGUGUUGUUCUUGACAGUGAGCAUGAGCACGAACCAGGGGGGCAUGCUGAACUCCUCCUCCUUCCCCUGCUGCCACAAAAGAGAAAGAACCAACCAUGACAGUUAGGUGCGGCAAGAAGGUCUGGCUCUUAG